rnacentral:rRNA from 1 species
UACGGAGGGUGCAAACGUUGCUCGGAAUUAUUGGGCGUAAAGCGCGCGUAGGCGGCUGUUCAAGUCGGGUGUGAAAGCCCUGGGCUCAACCCAGGAAGCGCACUCGAAACUGGACGGCUUGAGUUCCGGAGGGGGUUGGAGAAUUCCCGGUGUAGAGGUGAAAUUCGUAGAUAUCGGGAGGAAUACCAGUGGCGAAGGCGCCGACCUGGACGGAAACUGACGCUGAGGCGCGAAAGCGUGGGGAGCAAACAGG